GAGGCAAUCCAGCUGAUAUAGGGUCUUCCAAGCCAAAUGAAAGCGCAGGCCCACAUGAGGGCCGAAUGUUCACUUGUAGCCUUUGUCGGUGUCGGAGGCUUAAACACACCAAGCUGUAGCUCAAACUAACCAUCUUGUUCCCCUCUUUCUAAGCCCUAUGCUAAUUCCUUCCAAUUUUACACUAAUCAUCCAAAUAGGAGAGAUCAGUAGAUUAACCCUAAGUUACACAUCAAACAAUUAAAUAUUGUAGAGAGGGAAUUAAAGGCAGCACAAUUAGGGCUUUAAUCCCUAGGACCAAUAACAUUGCGCUAACGAUUAUUGGUCCAUAAGAGAAGAAUUAACCAACCUUUGAGACGAAGGUGUGUCCCGACAUUUGUUGCAACUAAGAAGACAAUGAUGAAACUGAAAUUGCAAAGCUUCCAAGAGGUUUGAAACAUGAUUGCUGAGCUUAGUGUAUUGCAUGGCAUGGUCGGCUAUUGGUUUGUUGCAGGUUUUGACGUGGGUUGCUUAGAAUGAAUGCAUUUGAAUGUAAUGCUUAUGUGUAUCAAUAUUGGUUCUUGAUGAGAAUGUAUGAAGAUGAAAAGAGGAAAUGGAGGAAAUUGGAAUCAACAUAAGGCUGAAAGAGAUUAAGUAUUAGGGUUCAGAAAAAUAUGUAAGUUGACUUGGGUCAAGGUUGACCAAAAAGUAAAUUGUUGACUAAAGUCAACUUUAUGGUCAAAGUGAUAUUUUUUUGUAAUUUUAUUUGUAAAAUGAUAUAAUGAAUGUACAUUUGUAUAUAAAAAUGGUUCUUUUAUAUCAAUGAAAAGAAAGCCUUAAUUUCAAA